rnacentral:rRNA from 1 species
GGGCCAAUAGAACUGCAGUCGAACGGACUUAACUCAUUCUUUUAUAUUGAGAGCGGUUAGUGGCGGACUGGUGACUAACACGUAAACAACCUGCCUAUCAGAGGGGAAUAACAGUGAGAAAUCAUUGCUAAUACCGCAUAUGCUCACAGUAUCACAUGAUACAGUGAGGAAAGGAGUAAUCCGCUGAUAGAUGGGCUUGCGUCUGAUUAUUUAAUUGGUGGGGUAACGGCCUACCAAUACUACAAUCAGUAGCCGGACUGAGAGGUUGAACGGCCACAUUGGGACUGACAUAUGGCCCAGACUCCUACUGGAGGCAGCACUCGGGAAUAUUGCGCAGUGGAGGAAACUCUGACUCAGUGACGCCGCAUAUAGGAAUAAAGUUUUCGGAUUGUAAACUAUUGUCAUUACGGAACAUAAAACACUGUACCUAAUGAGGAAGCCCCGGCUAACUAUGUGCCAUCAGCCUCGGUAAUACUUAUGGGGCAAGCGUUAUCCGGAAUUAUUGGGUGUAAAGGGUGCGUAGACGGAAGAACAAGUUGGUUGUGAAAUCCCUCGGCUCAACUGAUGAACUGCGACCAAAACUAUUCACCUUGAGUGUCUGAGAGGAAAGUGGAAUUCCUAUUGUAGCGGUGAAAUGCUUAGAUAUUAAGAGGAACACCAAUGGCGAAGGCGACUUUCUGGACGAUAACUGACAUUGAGGCACGAAAGUGUGGGGAGCAGACCUGAUUACAUACCCUGAUACUCAACACU